rnacentral:rRNA from 1 species
AUUGAACGCUGGCGGCAGGCUUAACACAUGCAAGUCGAGCGGGGUGAUGGUGCUUGCACUAUCACUUAGCGGCAGACGGGUGAGAAAUGCUUAGGAAUCUGCCUAUUAGUGGGGGACAACAUCUCGAAAGGGAUGCUAAUACCGCAUACGUCCUACGGGAGAAAGCAGGGGAUCACCUGUGACCUUGCGCUAAUAGAUGAGCCUAAGUCGGAUUAGCUAGUUGGUGGGGUAAAGGCCGACCAAGGCGACGAUCUGUAGCGGGUCUGAGAGGAUGAUCCGCCACACUGGGACUGAGACACGGCCCAGACUCCUACGGGAGGCAGCAGUGGGGAAUAUUGGACAAUGGGGGGAACCCUGAUCCAGCCAUGCCGCGUGUGUGAAGAAGGCCUUAUGGUUGUAAAGCACUUUAAGCGAGGAGGAGGCUCUUUUGGUUAAUACCCAAGAUGAGUGGACGUUACUCGCAGAAUAAGCACCGGCUAACUCUGUGCCAGCAGCCGCAGUAA